CAACCCACUGGCCUCCAGAGCUACAGGUUAUUUCUGAUGGGCAUGUUCCACCAGACAACUGAGCGCACGGCGUUUGCGAUUAUGGAAUCAUGCCGCUGUUCCAAAUCACAGUCCUCACCCUGCAUGUGUCUCGGUGUCUUGGAUAGUGAGAGCGGGGAGCUCGCCAGCAAACAGGCCCCUUCCGACGCAAAGGCUAUUCUUGCUGCUUCUCUCCCUUGCUCACUCUCUGGAUUUGAAGAUCAUUUUCUUUUGGACUCAUAGUACGUGUCAACGCUUAACCAAGAACCCUCCUGACCCUCAUCUGAUAACUGGAACAGCUCAAGAUUUUAUGGAUUUACACUUCCAUGUUCCUCUCAUGCUCCGGGUAGGAUUACAGUACCCUUUUCAUUUUGUCAUACUUCCUCCAAGCUUUUUUUUUUUUUUUUUUUUGAAAACAAGUUUUCUUACCAGGUCAUACUACAGAUUUAUUGUGAUUUUAUGUGAUUUUCUCACACUUUCUCAUUUCACAAGUCCUCUCUAUAGGGGAAAAAGGUUCCCUUAUCUACAUGCGCAUGUGCGCACACUAAUAUGAAGAGGCUGUACACAGGAGGAUGUUGUUUGCAGUGUUACAUUAGCAACGUUAAACAGUCACUAAAGUUCACCCACCAACAAAUAUUCACAGCCUAAGCAUAUACCCAAAUAUUCGGCAAACAUUUCUACUAAAGAACCAUAUGCGGCCUGUGAAAAAAAACAAGGUGGAUCUGUGUGCAUUGAGAUGGGAAGAUGUUUGCCAUAGAACUUGUUGUUGGGACUGUGUGACAUCUGAAACCCUUUCCUAUGUCUGCAUGACCUAAUGUUGUGUGACUCUCCUGGGGACCAGGGCUUCUCUAUGGAUGCCGAAAACUUCACAGGCAGGUCCUGUCCCAGACUCCUGGCAGAGAGCAUGUGGGGGAAAAACAUGAGCUCGCAUGGUCGUUUCCAGGACUUCCAAUCUCCAGAAGUGGCAUAAAGAAGCAGAGCUUUUAGAAUUCAUUCUGGGGAAGCAGCAGUAGCAGCAGAAAGAACAGCGACUUUUUGGGAGCAGCAGAGUAGCAGCAUAUUAAUAAGACUUUUUGAUGUGACUUUUCACUUCCUUUUAAAAUUGGUAUUACAUUCAAUUAAUUCAAAAUGCAAAGAGGACAAAAGCUAUACAUAAUGAGAAGUUCCCUCUCCUUUCUCCUGUCCAUCUUAUCCUUGUCCUGACACCUAGUUUUCUGAUGUUACUAAUUUGGGGUAUAUCCUUCCUUUUAGGGCUAUUUUCUGGAUACAUAUGACCAUAUGCAGAUCUUUCUCUUUUUUUCAUUAAUUCAUUAAUUCAUUCAUGACUAAAACUGUAGCAUGUUAUAUAAACUGCUUUUUAAAAGGAUUUUAUUUUUUUAUUCAUGACACACACACACACACACACACACACACAUACACACACAUACACACAGAGGCAGAGACACCAGCAGAGGGAGAAGCAGUCUCCAUGCAGGGAGCCUGAUGUGGGACUCUAUCCCAGGACUCCAGGAUCACGCCCUGGGCCAAAGGCUGAGCCACCCAGGUGUCCCUAUAAACUGCUUCUGAUCCCGGAGCACAUUCUAUAUCAGUGUGUCCAGGACGUGUUCAUUCUUUGAUAGUUAGAGUAGGCAUUGUGUAAAUAUAUCAGUUCCUAUGGAUGGACAUUUAGGGGAUGUAUAGUCCUUUGCUAUUACCAACAAUGGUGCCAUGAAUACCCUUGUAUUCGUGGUUUCAUAUCUUUGCCAAAGUUUCUGUAGGGCAAACUUCUCAAAGGGCAUGUACCUUUGGAAUUUUAAUGAGGUAUUACCAAAUUGCCCUCUGGAAAGUUUAUGGCAAUUUAUGCUCCUACCAGCAGUGAGUAGUGGUGCCAUUUCCCCACAUCCUCCCCCCAAAUGUGGGACUAGAUUAUUGAUCUUUGCUCUGACUUGAUUUUGACUUUAUUUCUGGCUGUUUGAGAAAUUUUGGAGGCACCUGGCUGGCUCAGUCAGUUGAGCGUCUGCCUUCGGGUCAGGUCAUGAUCCUAAGGUCCCAGGAUCAAGUCCUGCAUUGGCUCCCUGCUCAAUGGGGAGUCUGCUUCUCCCUCUGACCCUGCCCCAUCUUGGGUGCUCUCACUCACUCUCUCUCUCAAAUAAAUAAAGUCUUUAAAAAAUGUUUUUUGUUGUU
rnacentral:lncRNA from 12 species